rnacentral:tRNA from 1 species
UUUCUUGAUAGCUUAAAUGGAAAAAGCAUUUGGUUGUUAACUAUAAGAGUAUAGGUUCGAAUCCUAUUCAAGAAGU